UGGGGAAUUUUGGACAAUGGGGGCAACCCUGAUCCAGCCAUCCCGCGUGUGCGAUGAAGGCCUUCGGGUUGUAAAGCACUUUUGGCAGGGAAGAAACAGCCUGGGAUAAUACCCCGGGCGACUGACGGUACCUGCAGAAUAAGCACCGGCUAACUACGUGCCAGCAGCCGCGGUAAUACGUAGGGUGCAAGCGUUAAUCGGAAUUACUGGGCGUAAAGCGUGCGCAGGCGGUUCGGAAAGAAAGGUGUGAAAUCCCAGGGCUUAACCUUGGAACUGCACUUUUAACUACCGAGCUAGAGUACGUCAGAGGGGGGUAGAAUUCCACGUGUAGCAGUGAAAUGCGUAGAGAUGCGGAGGAAUACCGAUGGCGAAGGCAGCCCCCCUGGGAUGAUACUGACGCUCAUGCACGAAAAGCGUGGGGAGCAAACAGGAUUAGAUACCCUGGUAGUCCACGCCCUAAACGAUGUCAACUAGCUGUUGGGGUUUAUUAACCUUAGUAGCGCAGCUAACGCGUGAAGUUGACCGCCUGGGGAGUACGGUCGCAAGAUUAAAACUUAAAGGGAAUUGAC
rnacentral:rRNA from 1 species